rnacentral:rRNA from 1 species
GCAUGGUUGUCGUCAGCUCGUGCCGUGAGGUGUCGGGUUAAGUCCCAUAACGAGCGCAACCCUACCUUUAGUUGCCAUCAGGUAAUGCUGGGGACUCUAAAGGAACUGCCUACGCAAGUAGUGAGGAAGGCGGGGAUGACGUCAAAUCAGCACGGCCCUUACGUCCAGGGCUACACACGUGCUACAAUGGCCGAUACAGAGGGCAGCUACCUGGUGACAGGAUGCAAAUCUCCAAAGUCGGUCUCAGUUCGGAUCGGAGUCUGCAACCCGACUCCGUGAAGUUGGAUUCGCUAGUAAUCGCGCAUCAGCCAUGGCGCGGUGAAUACGUUCCCGGGCCUU